rnacentral:rRNA from 1 species
GUUGUAUAGUCAAGUAAUUAAGUGCAUGUGGUGGAUGCCUUGGCAGUCAGAGGCGAUGAAAGACGUGAUAGCCUGCGAAAAGCUCCGGGGAGGCGGCAAAUAUCCUUUGAUCCGGAGAUGUCUGAAUGGGGGAACCCACCUACUUUAAGGUAGGUAUUGCAACAUGAAUACAUAGUGUUGCAAGGCGAACGAGGGGAAGUGAAACAUCUCAGUACCCUUAGGAAAAGAAAUCAAUUGAGAUUCCCUCAGUAGCGGCGAGCGAACGGGGAUCAGCCCAUUAAGUUAUGUGUGUUUUAGUGGAACGCUCUGGGAAGUGCGAACGUAGAGGGUGAUAUUCCCGUACACGAAAGGGCACACAUAAUGAUGACGAGUAGGGCGAGGCACGUGAAACCUUGUCUGAAUAUGGGGGGACCAUCCUCCAAGGCUAAAUACUCCUGACUGACCGAUAGUGAACCAGUACCGUGAGGGAAAGGCGAAAAGAACCCCUGUGAGGGGAGUGAAAUAGAUCCUGAAACCGCAUGCAUACAAGCAGUGGGAGCACCUUCGUGGUGUGACUGCGUACCUUUUGUAUAAUGGGUCAGCGACUUAUAUUCAGUAGCAAGGUUAACCGUAUAGGGGAGCCGUAGAGAAAUCGAGUCUUAAUAGGGCGUUUAGUUGCUGGGUAUAGACCCGAAACCAGGCGAUCUAUCCAUGAGCAGGUUGAAGGUUGGGUAACACUAACUGGAGGACCGAACCCACUGUCGUUGAAAAGCCAGGGGAUGACUUGUGGAUAGGGGUGAAAGGCUAAUCAAGCCUGGUGAUAGCUGGUUCUCCCCGAAAGCUAUUUAGGUAGCGCCUCGGACGAAUACCAUAGGGGGUAGAGCACUGUUUCGGCUAGGGGGUCAUCCCGACUUACCAAACCGAUGCAAACUCCGAAUACCUAUGAGUACUAUCCGGGAGACAGACUGCGGGUGCUAACGUCCGUAGUCAAGAGGAAAACAAUCCAGACCGCCAGCUAAGGCCCCAAAAUCAUAGUUAAGUGGGAAACGAUGUGGGAAGGCAUAGACAGCUAGGAGGUUGGCUUAGAAGCAGCCACCCUUUAAAGAAAGCGUAAUAGCUCACUAGUCGAGUCGGCCUGCGCGGAAGAUGUAACGGGGCUAAAACUAUGUGCCGAAGCUGCGGAUNNNNNNNNNNNNNNNNNNNNNNNNNNNNNAUGCUGGAGGUAUCAGAAGUGCGAAUGCUGACGUGAGUAACGACAAAACGGGUGAAAAACCCGUUCGCCGAAAGACCAAGGGUUCCAGUCCAACGUUAAUCGGGGCUGGGUGAGUCGACCCCUAAGGCGAGGCCGAAAGGCGUAGUCGAUGGGAAAAUGGUUAAUAUUCCAUUACUUCUGUGUAAUGCGAUGAGAGGACGGAGAAGGCUAAAUCAGCCUGGCGUUGGUUGUCCAGGUGAAAGGAUGUAGGCAUGUAUCUUAGGCAAAUCCGGGGUACUCUAUGCUGAGAUCUGAUAGCAAGCUGUACUUGUACAGCGAAGUGGUUGAUGCCAUGCUUCCAGGAAAAGUCUCUAAGCUUCAGUUACACAGGAAUCGUACCCGAAACCGACACAGGUGGUCAGGUCGAGUAGACCAAGGCGCUUGAGAGAACUCUGCUGAAGGAACUAGGCAAAAUGGUACCGUAACUUCGGGAGAAGGUACGCUGUUGUUGGUGAUGGAACUCGCUUCCUGAGCUGACGACAGCCGCAGAAACCAGGCCGCUGCAACUGUUUAUUAAAAACAUAGCACUCUGCAAACACGAAAGUGGACGUAUAGGGUGUGAUGCCUGCCCGGUGCUGGAAGGUUAAUUGAUGGGGUUAGCGUAAGCGAAGCUCUUGAUCGAAGCCCCAGUAAACGGCGGCCGUAACUAUAACGGUCCUAAGGUAGCGAAAUUCCUUGUCGGGUAAGUUCCGACCUGCACGAAUGGCAUAAUGAUGGCGGCGCUGUCUCCAGCAGAGGCUCAGUGAAAUCGAAAUCGCUGUGAAGAUGCAGUGUACCCGCGGCUAGACGGAAAGACCCCGUGAACCUUUACUGCAGCUUGACACUGAACUUUGACCUUACUUGUGUAGGAUAGGUGGGAGGCUUUGAAGCUGGAACGCUAGUUCCAGUGGAGCCGUCCUUGAAAUACCACCCUGGUAAUGUUGAGGUUCUAACUCUGUCCCGUGAUCCGGGACGAGGACCGUGUCUGGUGGGUAGUUUGACUGGGGCGGUCUCCUCCUAAAGAGUAACGGAGGAGUACGAAGGUGCGCUCAGCGUGGUCGGAAAUCACGCGUAGAGUAUAAAGGCAAAAGCGCGCUUAACUGCGAGACCCACAAGUCGAGCAGGUACGAAAGUAGGUCUUAGUGAUCCGGUGGUUCUGUAUGGAAGGGCCAUCGCUCAACGGAUAAAAGGUACUCUGGGGAUAACAGGCUGAUACCGCCCAAGAGUUCAUAUCGACGGCGGUGUUUGGCACCUCGAUGUCGGCUCAUCUCAUCCUGGGGCUGAAGCAGGUCCCAAGGGUAUGGCUGUUCGCCAUUUAAAGAGGUACGCGAGCUGGGUUUAGAACGUCGUGAGACAGUUCGGUCCCUAUCUACCGUGGGCGCUGGAAAUUUGAGAGGAUCUGCUCCUAGUACGAGAGGACCAGAGUGGACGAACCUCUGGUGUACCGGUUGUGACGCCAGUCGCAUCGCCGGGUAGCUAUGUUCGGAAGGGAUAACCGCUGAAAGCAUCUAAGCGGGAAGCCUACCUCAAGAUAAGAUUUCCCUAGGACUUUAUGUCCUCUAAAGAGCCGUUCGAGACUAGGACGUUGAUAGGUUGGAUGUGGAAGCAUAGUGAUAUGUGAAGCUGACCAAUACUAAUUGCUCGUGAGGCUUGACUAUACAACACCCAAGCAGUUG